rnacentral:tRNA from 1 species
GCCUGGGUGGCUCAGUCGGUUGAGCACCUAACUUCGGCUUAGGUCAUGAUCUCGCGGCUCAUGAGGUUCAAGCCCCGCAUCAGGCU